rnacentral:lncRNA from 1 species
CAAACUCACUGUCAAUUUGACAUUUAUCACUACGAAAUCAACAUUCAAGGUCACAAUUUGAAGAUUCACAAAUCGAAUUAUCUCGUCACAAUAUAACAGAGUUAACGCCAUGGCUGUGUUUUACUUUUGGGAAUAGUUCGGAAGGUUGUUGACUUCGCAAUUGAAGAUUUCAAAUCGAAGCAGUGUCGAAAAAACAUUUAGCAGUUACCGUCGGUAAGUCGUGCCAUGAAUGCAUGAAUUUGACCUUUUUAACGACAUAAUACAUCCAUUCAUUGCAAUUGGGUACAUUAAGCUCUACGAUCAAUUUUUACUUUUGUUUCUAAAGCAACUACUGCAUUGUUGAUUCAAUUAUGGUCAAUGUUUAUAAAACUCAUACAUUUGAUCACAUUUACGUACACGUGAAUGUAAUAAAGAAACAUAAGUCUAUGGCGUGAAUUCGAUAUAGUGAACUACAUUAUUAAAAUAUUUGUUCACCAUCUGUGCGUUUCUAAUUUAACUAUUCAUUGAAAUGUUUAUAGUGUGUGUAUAUGACCAAUAUGCAUGUACAUUCUGCUUUGACAAGUUGCAUAUGAUUUGUGACCAAUAUAUAGUGAUUUGUGACUAGAGUUAACUAAGUUGUGUCAAGUUGAGUAUGAUUUGUGACCAAUAUACAGUGAUCUAUGACUUCGAUUCAAUAUGUCGUGUCAAGUUGUAUAAGAUCUGAAACCAAAAUAUAGUGAUACGUGACUAAAAGUGUAUGCAUACAUAUAUGACCUGAAAUCUGUUUGUGUGAAAACGAAUCUUUCAAUUAUGAGUGUAUGGGAUAAUCUGUGACCUAAAAUCUAAUAUUCUGACCAAUUGCAGUAAACUGUGACGCUUGUGUAUAUUAGAACAUGCAAUAUAAGUUUUGACUUCUGAGAAAAAAAAUGUAGUGAUAGUAGUGUACUGUCGUACAUUACGCUACAGGAAAUGGAUCGUAACCCUUCGAAAUACUCGUUAAGUAUUAAUGUAACAGCAGCAGAAAUUGAGCAACAGAGUAUUACAGUUCCAGCUAAUGUACAGAGUAGUGGAGAGCUGUUUUCAUUACAGGAUCUGGAAUCAGACAUUUGCAAUGCAGCAAUUGAACCAGCAGGUCACACAUUUGAACAAGAAAUCACAGUUGUGAAAAUCGCCGAUGCCAUAGAGGUGCAAGAAGGAAAGAUCUUUCGUGAUAAAGAAAUUCUAAAAUUGAGUCUUUCUUUUCUCGCAAUAAAGAACAUGUUUGAGUUUAUGGUUGUUUUGGUCGGACAAGAAGGAAUAUGUUGUCAGGUGUGUGCAUGACGAAUGUACAUUGUGGAGGAUGUGGUCACAACCGGAGAAAAUGCAGUAAUAUGGUUUCAUUAAGCCAAAAUUAAGCAAGGACAAAAACAAAAGAACGGUAACUCAGAUGAUGACACAGUUAGGCAACGAACAUAUCAUUUUUUAUAGCAUUUACAUCUCAAUUGUUAUAUCAUUUUACUGUAAAUGAAAUAUUCAUUGAUGUAAUCGUGGUAUGAAUGAAUACCAUGUGACUUUUGAAGCAGAAUCUGUAAUUUGAUAUUAUGGUUUGUGAUCAACAUAGUAGAAUUUG